AUUGAACGCUGGCGGCAGGCCUAACACAUGCAAGUCGAACGGUAACAGGAAGACGCUUGCUUCUUUGCUGACGAGGGGCGGGUGGGAGAGCGAUAUCUGCGAAACUGCCUGAUAUAAGGGGAUAAAUACUGGAAAAGGUCCCUAAAACCGCAUAACGUCGCAAGACCAAAGAUGCGGACCUUCGGGCCUCUUGCCGGCCGAUGUGCCCAGAUGUGAUUAGCUAGUUGGUGGGGUACCGGCUCACCUAGGCGACGAUCCGUAGCUGGUCUGAGAGGAUGACCAGCCACACUGGGACUGAGACACGGUCCAGACUCCUACGGGAGGCAGCAGUGGGGAAUAUUGCACAAUGGGCGAAAGCCUGAUGCAGCCAUGCCGCGUGUAUGAAGAAGGCCUUCGGGUUGUAAAGUACUUUUGGCCGGGAGGAAGAGAGUAAAGUUAAUAACGAGGCUUAUUGACGUUACCGGAAGAAGAAGCACCGGCUAACUCCGUG
rnacentral:rRNA from 1 species